GUGAGGAAUAUUGGUCAAUGGACGGAAGUCUGAACCAGCCAUGCCGCGUGCAGGAAUAAGGUCCUAUGGAUUGUAAACUGCUUUUAUUCGGGAAUAAACCUCUUUACGCGUAGGGAGCUGAAGGUACCGAAGGAAUAAGCUCCGGCUAACUCCGUGCCAGCAGCCGCGGUAAUACGGUGGGUGCAAGCGUUAUCCGGAAUUAUUGGGUUUAAAGGGUCAGCAGGCGGGCUAUCAAGUCAGAGGUGAAAUCCCACAGCUUAACUGUGGAACUGACUUUGAAACUGAUGGUCUUGGAUUAAGUGAGCGUUGGCGGAAUAUGACAUGAAGCGGUGAAAUGCAUAGAUGUGUCAUGGAACACCGAAAGCGAAGGCAGCUAACGAUACUUAUAUUGACGCUCAUGGACGAAAGCGUGGGUAGCGAACAGGAUUAGAUACCCUGGUAGUCC
rnacentral:rRNA from 1 species